UACGUAGGGUGCAAGCGUUAAUCGGAAUUACUGGGCGUAAAGCGUGCGCAGGCGGUUUUGUAAGACUGUCGUGAAAUCCCCGGGCUCAACCUGGGAAUUGCGAUGGUGACUGCAAGGCUAGAGUUUGGCAGAGGGGGGUAGAAUUCCACGUGUAGCAGUGAAAUGCGUAGAGAUGUGGAGGAACACCGAUGGCGAAGGCAGCCCCCUGGGUCAAAACUGACGCUCAUGCACGAAAGCGUGGGGAGCAAACAGG
rnacentral:rRNA from 1 species